CCUACGGGAGGCAGCAGUCGAGAAUCAUUCACAAUGGGGGAAACCCUGGUGGUGCGACGCCGCGUGGGGGAAUGAAGGUCUUCGGAUUGUAAACCCCUGUCAUGUGGGAGCAAAUUAAAAAGAUAGUACCACAAGAGGAAGAGACGGCUAACUCUGUGCCAGCAGCCGCGGUAAUACAGAGGUCUCAAGCGUUGUUCGGAAUCACUGGGCGUAAAGCGUGCGUAGGCUGUUUCGUAAGUCGUGUGUGAAAGGCGCGGGCUCAACCCGCGGACGGCACAUGAUACUGCGAGACUAGAGUAAUGGAGGGGGAACCGGAAUUCUCGGUGUAGCAGUGAAAUGCGUAGAUAUCGAGAGGAACACUCGUGGCGAAGGCGGGUUCCUGGACAUUAACUGACGCUGAGGCACGAAGGCCAGGGGAGCGAAAGGGAUUAGAUACCCUUGUAGUC
rnacentral:rRNA from 1 species